rnacentral:rRNA from 1 species
GUUUUUUGUUUUUUAGGCGCAUGGUGGAUGCCUGGGUAUGCUAAGCCGAUGAAGGACGUGAUAGGCUGCGUUAAGCCUCGGGGAGUUGCCUGAUGAGCGUUGAUCCGAGGGUGUCCGAAUGGGGAAACCCGGCCAUGGUUAUGUGUGGUCACCCGCCAGUGAAUGAAAUAGUUGGUUGGGGGGUUACGCGGGGAAGUGAAACAUCUUAGUACCCGUAGGAGGAGAAAACAAGAGUGAUUCUGCUAGUAGUGGCGAGCGAACGUGGAUAAGGCUAAACCGUGUGCGUGUGAUACCGGGUAGGGGUUACGCAUGCGGGGUUAGAGGAGCACGGCGUAUCAGUUCUACCUCGGCUGGUGCUGUUGUUGGUGUGUGUUAGUGGAAGUGGUGUGGAAUCGCCUGCCAGAGACGGUGAGAGUCCGGUACACGAAAACACUCGCUUGCGGGGUUGUUGUGUUUCCUGAGUAGCGGCGGGCUCGUGGAAUCUGUCGUGAAUUUGCCGGGACCACCCGGUAAGCCUAAAUACUUAGCAUGACCGAUAGUGGAGUAAGUACCGUGAGGGAAUGGUGAAAAGUACCCCGGGAGGGGAGUGAAAGAGUACCUGAAACCAUGUGCUGAUAAUCCGUCAUAGCCCCCCCUUUUUUUUGGGUGGGGUGGUGGCGUGCCUUUUGAAGAAUGAGCCUGCGAGUCAGUGGCAUGUUGCGUGGUUAACCAUGAGUGUGGGGAGCCGUAGCGAAAGCGAAUCCUAAUUAGGGUGUGUGUGGCAUGUUCUGGACCCGAAGCGGGGUGAUCUACCCAUGGCCAGUGUGAAGCAGAGGUAAGACUUUGUGGAGGCGCGAACCCACUUAGGUUGAAAACUGAGGGGAUGAGUUGUGGGUAGGGGUGAAAGGCCAAUCAAACUCCGUGAUAGCUGGUUCUCCCCGAAAUGCAUUUAGGUGCAGCGUCGCAUAGUGUGCUUGUUGGAGGUAGAGCUACUGGUUGGUUGAGCGGGACGAUAAUCUUAGCAACAUCAGCUAAACUCCGAAUGCCAGCAAUGUGGGUGCGGCAGUGAGACUGCGGGGGAUAAGCUCCGUUGGUCGAGAGGGAAACAGCCCAGAUCGUCGGUUAAGGCCCCUAAGGGUGUGCUCAGUGGGAAAGGAUGUGGGAUCGCGAAGACAGCCAGGAGGUUGGCUUAGAAGCAGCCAUCCUUGAAAGAGUGCGUAAUAGCUCACUGGUCGAGUGGUUCUGCGCCGAUAAUGUAGCGGGGCUUAAGUACACCGCCGAAACCGCGGCAACACACGUAAAGGUGUGUUGGGUAGGGGAGCGUCGUGCAUGUGUUGAAGCUAUUUGGUGACAGGUGGUGGAGUGUGUGCGAGUGAGAAUGCAGGCAUGAGUAACGAUUGAUGUGUGAGAAACAUAUCCGCCGGAUGACUAAGGGUUCCUGGGUGAAGUUUGUCUUCCCAGGGUGAGUCGGGGCCUAAGGCGAGGCCGACAGGCGUAGUCGAUGGAUGACGGGUUGAUAUUCCCGUACCCGUGUGCGUGCGACAAGUGAUGAAUCUUAUGGUACUAACCGCCCGCUUGUUUCCGCUGAUCUUUUUGGUUGGUGGUUUCAGGUGCGUGGGAUCUUCGUGGGUAGUAGUCAAGUGAUGGGGUGACGCAGAGUGGUAGCUAGGCUUCCUUAUUGGAUUGGAGUGCAAGCGUGUGGCCUGUGGGGUUGGGAAAUCCGCCCCGCAUAUGAGGUGAGGCGUGAUGCGGACACCAUGUUGUGGUGGUAGUUAGUGUGCCUGUGCUGUCUAGAAAAGCCUCUAGCGAGUGCGUGCAUGGCCCGUACCGGAAACCGACACAGGUGGUCAGGUAGAGAAUACUAAGGCGUUCGGGUGAACUGUGGUUAAGGAACUCGGCAAAAUGCCCCCGUAACUUCGGGAGAAGGGGGACCAUUACUGGUUGCUGACAGCGAAUUGGCUGGUGGUGGUCGCAGAGGAGAGAGGGAAGCGACUGUUUAUUAAAAACACAGGUCCGUGCGAAAACGUGGAAGUUGAGGUAUACGGACUGACGCCUGCCCGGUGCUGGAAGGUUAAGAGGACCCGUGAGCACGCCUUAUGUGUGUGCGAGGCGGAGAAUUGAAGCCCCAGUAAACGGCGGUGGUAACUAUAACCAUCCUAAGGUAGCGAAAUUCCUUGUCGGGUAAGUUCCGACCUGCACGAAUGGCGUAACGACUUCCCUGCUGUCUCAACCACAGGCCCGGUGAAAUUGCAGUACGAGUAAAGAUGCUCGUUUCGCGCGGCAGGACGAAAAGACCCCGGGACCUUUACUAUAGCUUGGUAUUGGUGUUUGGUCAUGCUUGUGUAGGAUAGGUGGGAGACUGUGAAGCCGCAACGCUAGUUGUGGUGGAGUCGCAGGUGAAAUACCACUCUGGUGUGAUUGGGUACCUGAACCUUGGCCCGUGAUCCGGGUUGGGGACAGUGCCUGGUGGGUAGUUUAACUGGGGCGGUUGCCUCCUAAAUGGUAACGGAGGCGCCCAAAGGUUUCCUCAGUCUGGUUGGCAAUCAGAUGGUGAGUGUAAGUGUAUAAGGGAGCUUGACUGUGACACUGACGGGUGGAGCAGGUGCGAAAGCAGGGACUAGUGAUCCGGCACCUACGUGUGGUUGUGGUGUCGCUCAACGGAUAAAAGGUACCCCGGGGAUAACAGGCUGAUCUUCCCCAAGAGUUCAUAUCGACGGGAUGGUUUGGCACCUCGAUGUCGGCUCGUCGCAUCCUGGGGCUGGAGUAGGUCCCAAGGGUUGGGCUGUUCGCCCAUUAAAGCGGCACGCGAGCUGGGUUUAGAACGUCGUGAGACAGUUCGGUCUCUAUCCGCCGCGCGCGUUGAAACUUGAAGAAGGCUGUCCCUAGUACGAGAGGACCGGGAUGGACGUACCUCUGGUAUGCCAGUUGUCACGCCAGUGGCAUGGCUGGUUAGCUACGUGCGGGAGGGAUAACCGCUGAAAGCAUCUAAGCGGGAAGCCUGUUUUGAGAUGAGGUUUCUGUUGAGGUUCCCUGUAGAUGAUGGGGUUGAUAGGCCAGGGCUGUGAGCAUGGUGACGUGUUGGAGGUGACUGGUACUAAUACACCGACACAAAAAAACAC